AACGAACGCUGGCGGCAUGCCUAACACAUGCAAGUCGAACGAGAUCUUCGGGUCUAGUGGCUCACGGGUACGUAACGCGUGGGAACCCCCCCUUUGGUUCGGAAUAACAGUUGGAAACGCCUGCUAAUACCCGCUGAUGACGAAAAUCCACGGCUUUAUCGCCAGCGGAUGAGCCCGCGUAGGAUUAGCUAGUUGGUGUGGUACAGGCGCACCAAGGCGACGGUCCUUAGCUGGUCUGAGAGGAUGAUCAGCCACACUGGGACUGAGACACGGCCCAGACUCAUACGGGAGGCAGCAGUGGGGAAUAGUGGACAAUGGGCGAAAGCCUGAUCCAGCAAUGCCGCGUGAGUGAUGAAGGCCUUAGGGUUGUAAAGCUCUUUUACCCGGGAUGAUAAUGACAGUACCGGGAGAAUAAGCUCCGACUAACUCCGUGCCAGCCGCCGCCGUAA
rnacentral:rRNA from 1 species